UACGAAGGGUGCAAACGUUGCUCGGAAUUAUUGGGCGUAAAGCGCACGUAGGCGGCCACCGCAAGUCGACUGUGAAAUCUCCGGGCUUAACCCGGAAAGGUCAGCCGAUACUGCGGGGCUAGAGUGCAGAAGGGGCAACUGGAAUUCUCGGUGUAGCGGUGAAAUGCGUAGAUAUCAAGAGGAACACCUGCGGCGAAGGCGGGUUGCUGGGCUGACACUGACGCUGAGGCGCGAAAGCUAGGGGAGCGAACGGG
rnacentral:rRNA from 1 species